rnacentral:rRNA from 1 species
AUCUAAGUAGGCGGAGGAGGAGAAAACAACAGUGAUUUCGUAAGUAGUGGCGAGCGAACGCGAAACAGCCCAAACCCAUUUGGUUACGGCCAGAUGGGGGUUAUAGGACCACAACGUUGACUUAUAAUUUGUAGUGGAAUAGGUUUGGAAAGGCCAAUCAUAGAGGGUGAUAAUCCCGUACACGAAACAGAUUAUAUACAUAGUGGUAUCCUGAGUACUGCGGGGUCGGAGACGCCCUGUAGGAAUUUGCCGGCACCAUCCGGUAAGGCUAAAUACUCCCAAGAGACCGAUAGCGCACAAGUA